rnacentral:rRNA from 1 species
GACGAACGCUGGCGGCGUGCUUAACACAUGCAAGUCGAACGGAAAGGCCCUGCUUUUGUGGGGUGCUCGAGUGGCGAACGGGUGAGUAACACGUGAGUAACCUGCCCUUGACUUUGGGAUAACUUCAGGAAACUGGGGCUAAUACCGGAUAGGAGCUCCUGCUGCAUGGAGGGGGUUGGAAAGUUUCGGCGGUUGGGGAUGGACUCGCGGCUUAUCAGCUUGUUGGUGGGGUAGUGGCUUACCAAGGCUUUGACGGGUAGCCGGCCUGAGAGGGUGACCGGCCACAUUGGCACUGGGAUACGGCCCAGACUCCUACGGGAGGCAGCAGUGGGGACUAUUGCACAAUGGGCGGAGGCCUGAUGCAGCAACGCCGCGUGCGGGAUGACGGCCUUCGGGUUGUAAACCGCUUUCGCCUGUGACGAAGCGUGAGUGCCGGUACUGGGUAAAGAAGCACCGGCUACCUACGU